GCUAUAAUAAUAGAGUUGUAAAAUAAAAAACUUCGCUAGCGGUUUGACGUUUGCCGUAAACGUCAAUCUUAAGGUCUCUAAUAAAGCAAAUUGUCUGAAAUUUCGUGCAGCAAUUACAAACCCAACACAUUUUUCACCCAUUAACUCAAAAUACGACUAAAGCUUUUAAAUCUCGUGCGCAAGCCAUGGUUUUUAGAUUGUCUGAAAAAACACGCACCUUUGGUUUGCCAAAUCUAAGUUCGAGAAUUUUUUUCAUUAUUCUACAUUAUAAAUUGAUACAACCGGUCCCAGGGCCCACAUUAAUUGGUUUAUGCUGUUGUGGUGUUCCCGCUAUUUGUUGUUAGAUUCAGUGACGUACAUGCUCUGCAAUCUGCAUGCUGUUAUAAUGUCAUGUUCGUGUGCACGUUUGUGUUGGCAAAGUUUAAGACUAUAUAUAAUACUCUUUUAUCAUUUUUUCAUAUCUUGCUUACUUCUACAAAUCUUUUGAUCGAAAGGAAAUGUGCGCCAUCUUCAAUUUUUGUAGAUAUGCAUGUCACGUCACAACAGGGGUCACGCAAUAUUUUUAUCUAGACAAACACUAAUAAUCAUUUUGCACUCAAAACUGUACUCUGUCUGCCCUUCGAAAUAUCAAGAUCACUCAAAACUUCUAAAACAUCUACCAAUCAAUAUUUGGUCAGGAACGAACACUUUUAUUUGCAUGGUUAAUCCCUGUUGCGACGUCAACAAAACUACCGUUAAUUAAUGAGAUCAAAAAUUUAUCCAAGAUGGCGGACAUCUUAUUACUUUAUGUGAAAUAUUUCAAGAACUAAAAAUCGGUAAAAAAGUUAACAGGCGGUUAAGUUUCAAACGUUCUUCCAAAUUGAAAAUAAAAAUUUAUAUUGCCAUUUCCCUUUACCGUAGCAUUAUUUGUUUAAUUUUCCGUAAUUAUUUCGUACAUUUCUCUAAAUUUUAGCUACAAUUAUUAGUUUUUAAUCAGUGUCACUCAAAUAUUUUAGUUUCUUUCCUUCCUAUCCAACUGCGAUUAGAUAAUUUGCCGACUACCUGACGACUGGUGGUGUUCCAAACAACAUAACCGCCCCCCCCCCCCCUUAGCGCCGCCCCUGCCUGUUCUGACUUUUAUAAAAUGGAAUGUCGAGAAUGUGGGAGGAUAUGAGAAAGCAGGCAGAUUCAGCUUUUUCAACAAGGUUGACUUUUUACUAAUCAUUAGAUCAAAAGGGCCCAUGCCAUGUAGUUCAUCCGAAAAUCGUCUUCACUACUGGGGCAAGCAAAGGCUUACUGAGGUAAUUACAUGGUAGCCUUGGUUUCUUUUGUUUCAUCAGGGGCGUUUAAUCCCGUACGUAUUUCCCUCAUUACCCAUGCAUACGAUUUGUCUUCUAAAUUUCCCCGGGCAAUUUAGUUGAAAACAAAAGAUUUCUUUGUCUUCUAAUUCUCCCCUGCAUGCUUGAUGAGGGAAAUUUAGAAGACAAAAGCGUACCUCAUUACCUCUCAUUGGAGAGCUGUACCUCAUCGAAAAUCAUCGGCACAACUAUGGACAGUAUCUGACGACACCGUCCCGUACACAUUCGAACAGUCACUUUGCCAGUUUUCAUUCCGCAAUCUUGAACAUUUCAAUUGUGGGAGAAAAUUCGGUUUGUGCGCAUGCCUAAAAAGAAUGAACGCGGAGAUGUGUUUCUGCGCGUACGUAUACAGUAUAUGAAAAGUAUCCAUCACACGUACAAUCAUAAGACAAUCAAACAGCAUUCAAAAGAGACCAACACACCACGCGUGAUUCCCUCGGCUAUCAUGUAAUUACAAUGGAGGGAAAUUAGUGAUUAAAUGACCCCGCAAACCGAGGGAGGUUUAGUACAUAGAAUAA
rnacentral:lncRNA from 1 species